rnacentral:lncRNA from 1 species
GCGGAGACCACCCGGAGGGCGAACGGUGGCGGAGGCGGGGACUGGGCGGACUGCAGACGCCCAGCCCCGAGAUUCAAGGGUCACAUAGCAGGCUGAGCAUCUAGCAAUGUAUUUACUGCUUUGGGAGUAAACAGAAGUAAAAGAAACCUUGAAUAACAAAAACAAAGAAAACUUGAACGGAAGCCAAGCUGUCCUUUUACCUAUUCUCAAAGUUAGACCUGACAAACCGCCCUGUAUGAUUGCUACUGCUAAUACCGUUACUAAAAGCAUUCAUCAGUUUUUAAUGUUUUGUCUUACUCAGUUGAUCUGUCUGCCUACCUACCUACUUAUCUAUCAUGUAUUAAUGUUUCUGCUGAAGCAUUUGAAAGCAAGUUGCAGACAACAUGGCAUUUGCUUCUAAAUAUUAAGUUUAACCUUAUGAAAUUGCUAAUAAAUAGUCAUUUUUGUUUUCUCAACUUAAUACUUCAGUAUGCAUC